rnacentral:rRNA from 1 species
GGAUGCGAUCAUACCAGCACUAAAGCGCCGGAUCUCAUCAGAACUCCGUAGUUAAGUGUGCUUGGGCGAGAGUAGUACUAGGAUAGGUGACCUCCUGGGAAGUCCUCGUGUUGCAUCCCUCC